GAUAAAACAACUCGAUUUAAAAUGUGAGCAGUUCUAGUGGAUCUGACGUCGAGGGAAAAAGUAUUUCGCUUUUUGUUUGGAGAUGAACGAGACAACACGAGGCACAGCGACAUAAAUAUGACCAACCAGAUCCCAAGUAGACAGGAACAAAUGAAGAUACAGCACAUAGAAAGACUUAUUCUUGGUGAUCAACUGCUAUUGACAUUUUUGAAUCGGGACAAUUGUGGAGUGAUUCGGAAGAAAAACGUUUGCAACACAUCCAUUCCAGGUGGCUAAUUUCUGUCCUUUUGAAUUAUUCUUGUAAAAACCGUUUGUUUUUAUUGUAAAGCUGUAAGGGACUUGGCCUAGUCAUCCUUGCAUAUACCAUUUGGCAGGGCA